AUUGAACGCUGGCGGCAUGCCUAACACAUGCAAGUCGAGCGGAGCGGCGGACGGGUGAGUAAUGCCUAGGAAUCUGCCCGGUAGUGGGGGAUAACUUCCGGAAACGGGCGCUAAUACCGCAUACUAUCAGAUGAGCCUAGUUCGGAUUAGCUAGUUGGUGGGGUAAAGGCCUACCAAGGCGACGAUCCGUAACUGGUCUGAGAGGAUGAACAGUCACACUGGAACUGAGACACGGUCCAGACUCCUACGGGAGGCAGCAGUGGUGAAUAUUGGACAAUGGGGGAAAGCCUGAUCCAGCCAUGCCGCGUGUGUGAAGAAGGUCUUCGGGUUGUAAAGCACUUUACGUUGGGAAGCGGUACCAGCAGAAUAAGCACCGGCUAACUACGUGCCAGCAGCCGCGGUAAUAC
rnacentral:rRNA from 1 species